CUCAAAGCUUCGAUUCUCAAGGUUAUCAGAACCAGACGAACACUAAUCAAAGAUCUCCUCAAAACCCUAAUCAAUGGAGUCCUCAGAAUAAUCCUCAAUACGGUGGGAACAGACCUCAAUACGGUGGGAGCAGGCCUCAAUACGGUGGUCAAAGACCUCAAUACGGUGGUGAAAGGCCUCAAUACGGUGGUGAAAGGCCACAAUAUGGUGGUCCUGGUAACAAUUAUCAGAAUCAGAAUGUUCAACAAAGUCCU
rnacentral:lncRNA from 1 species